CAAUUAAAUCAGAAAAAUACUAACAUUUAAUAAAUUAUAAUAUUUAUAGAAAGAACUGUUUUUGUAAGCAAACUGCGCGAUACCAUUGUUAUUAUAUCUUUGGAGCGAACGAACGAACGCCGAAUGAUUCAAGGCGCGGCGAAUGCUCGCAGCGAUCGCGAAUCCAUCACUGUGUCUCGCGAAACAUCCGUACGCAGACACGUACCACUUUAACUGCAGAUUUUUUAAAUAUAAGGUUUACGAACUCGUGAAGUUUUUACACCUCAGAAUCUAAUUAAGUCUGUGUACGUCACCCCGAUAACGGGGAUCCAGUACCGGAUUUCGAUUGCUGCUCCCGGCUCACUCUCCAUAAUCAGGCUUACGGCGGAGGUGAUUGCUGCAUUUUUGUCAUCGGACUACCCUACGAUAUCACAACUUCGUGACCCCAACUUCGUGUCAACGCUUCUCCACGGAUAAAAGGGCAGUGGUUUUGAUUGAGCUUAAGACUGGUGAUUCUUCGCGUUGCAAUUGUUUAUCCACUCCCUGAAGAGUCGUAAUUAAACCUUUUUGUUAAAUUUAAAA